AGCAGCAGCAGCACGGGGAAGGAAAAGAACAGAAGAAGAAGCAGGUCUGCGGCCCGACCUGGCGUGAAUUAACCGAUGAGGAGCUUGAGUGAGGCUUACAAGAAGAAGGCCGAGGGGUUUGAUGUUGGGGAGGUUCCAGGAGACGUUUUCAUGAAUUUAAUUAUGCCAUGUCCGCUCGAUGGGCCUGCCCUGCCAGUCAACGUACUGCGGCCUUAUAAUAAAAUGGCAAAGAAAGCUCUUGCAUCUUACAACAAUGAAAAGGGAACAACGUACAAGUUUGUCAAACACAUUAAGAGUAAAUUGUAACGGAGGAGGUGUUGGUUCUUGGUAUUUUAUUACAGUACUUUUCAGGCCAAGGAUAAAAAGGCUGGUUCUCAGAACUUCCAAACUCCUGUGUAUUCUUAUCAGGAUUUGAUUUAGGUCAGAUUUUGCAGGGUUGAAAAAAAACUGGAAGAACCCAAAGGUUACAUGGACUCGGGUACAAGUUUCGGGUGCGGGUACGUUUCCAAGUGUCAGCCCCAUCUAAUUUACAUUUCCAGGAGGCGGGGACAAAGCAAAGUAUGUAUGUUUCUCAAUAUGUUUCUUUUGUUUUCUAGGCUAAAUGGUGCUUAUUAGGUGGGUUAGGGCAUUUCAUGCAUAUUAUAUUAGUUUAUGCAUAUCAUAGAAGUUUUAUGCAUACUAUCAAAGUAUGUUUUCUAGUUGAGUGUCCAACUAAAUAUAGGGGACACGGAUCCCAUACCCAUGUUGGAGAGUCAAGUGUCUGACAUAGGUAUUUUAUAGUUUUAGAAGAGUCCUUAUAUUUGUAUCCCUUAACUUCAAGCGAACAAAGACAUAGUUAUAAACUAAAGCUACAGAAAGCAUCAAAUAUGUUGAGUUCCAACGAGUCUUAAAAUCAAGAACCAACUCUCUAGUGCACGGAACACUUAAUUGGCAUGUUGUUUCUUCAAAUUUUUGCUUCCUUUUUGGUGAUCCUGUCCAAAAAACCAUACUAACACUAUCAUCCACCCUCUCAAUACCUUCAGUCCUUCACCAAUAAUAGCUAAACCAUCUUGAACAACCAAAUUGAGAAUGUGUGCAUCACUGUGCAUAUGCAACAAUGAUCCUUUCAAGAUUAGUGAUUUAUUUAGGUGGGUGGGACCGUGGGAGCUUCUCCAAGAGAAUUCUUAUGAUGACAUCAUUUGCAUUGCAAUUAUGCAGUCACUGUAGAUAACUUGCUAUCAAAAUUCCAUUCCAACAUGCACUCUAAAAGAACCUUAGAAAGAACUUAGGCUGUGUGUGGAGAUGGAGUGUAAAUAAACCUCGGACAAUACAACACAAAUAAGUUUAAAGUAAGAAAGGCACAAACAAUAGUCAAAUAAGCUGAGUUACAUGUUUCCAUCAAAAAUUAGAAUUGAACUUCGAAAUAAAAAGAAACGGUACCUCAUAACCGAUUUUCCAAGGCCCGAGAGUCAUUAAUAUAGUGGGCAGUCACAACCAGGAAUCCUCUCUUUUUGUUACUUAAAGUCCACGUGUCUGUUGUGAUUGCAAUUCUACUUGGAUUCUUGUCCACCUUCACUUAAGUUUUCUUGUUCUCAUAAUUAUAUAUUUUUUUAAUAAUGUCCCUCUUCAAAGUGCUUCUAGAAAUCAUCUUAAACAUAGGUUCAACAUGCCCUGCAGAUCGGAUCGCAAUGGCCAUCCCUUCCAGUGGGGGCACCGAGUCUUGAAAUGUCACAUUUAUGCCCCUAGAAGUUUUGAUUUUGCCCCCAGUGAAUGUUCAGUUUGCCCCAUUUAUUUGCCCGGUACACCAGUCUUGGAUGUUUGCCCACACUAUACAAGAAUCCUGCUCCGCCCUUGGACCAUUACUCAUGUACUAAACGAUGAAAACAUGAUUAUUUAUAGGUUGAUUAUUAAUUUCCUUUUGGCAAAGCACUGUUUACUGCCUUUGUUAAUGUUUCCUUCUACGGUUUGAUGUUUUGUUUACAAUGUACGUAUGAUAUAGGGGCACGAGGAGCAGGUUGAGGUAUCAUCUAUGACAAACUGGAAAAGGCUGCUGGCAUGUUAAGAAUGAUUCCUUGUAGCUAACUCCGGUAAACCGAUAGUGUUUACUAUACACGUUAAGUUGUAUUGCAUAAUUUACUGUUUCCUUGUUACUAUCGCUUAAAAUGUUUCCUUGUUUUCUUUGACGUUUUUUACUUGUAUAGUCACUAGACACAUUAGUUUUUUGCUAGGAUUAGGAAUUAAUGGGUGGAUGAAUUGUGAUAAGUUUUUUGGUAUGAUUUGUUGUGGUCAUAAUUAUAGGGAAUUUGUUGGGGGAUGAUGAUGGAAAGCGUGAAACAUGGAAACAAAUGAAUAGAAUCACUUUUUUUUUUUUGGUUUGGGACCUUUCUAAGUUAUGUUUCAAUCCCAAAAUUCUUUACCUAUAUGGUAUCGAAAAAAUAGGUAAUAUGGUGUAUAAAGGACAAAAUUGGGUUUAUAAAAAUAUGAGGAUAAAAACAUAAUCGUAAAAAGUAGACGAGAUGAAAACAUAACCUCUACUAGACUGGAGGAUGAAUAUUUAAGUAGCCCCGGUAAUUAUGCAAUACAACAACUUAAUAUAUUCUCAUUUCUAAUCCGAAACCUCCAUUUGGUUGCAUUUGACUAUGGUUAGGGAUUUGAGGAGUAUUGGAUCGACUGCCGCAACGGUUGGUUGUGGCACCGGGAGCGAAGUCGAUGCAGCGGUAGAGGAGAAUGGUAGACAAUGGCAGCUGCGGUUUGUUUUUUUUGCAGAAAAAACAAAAACAUUUCUCUUGUUAUUAUUGUGAUUGAAUUCCACUAAAUUAAAAAGUGGUUGAAUUCCACUAACUAAGAAAGACAAUAAACACACACAU